AGCGGCAGCACAGAGAAACUUGUUUCUCGGGUGGCGAGCGGCGGACGGGUGAGUAAUGCCUGGGAAAUUGCCCUGAUGUGGGGGAUAACCAUUGGAAACGAUGGCUAAUACCGCAUAAUAGCUUCGGCUCAAAGAGGGGGACCUUCGGGCCUCUCGCGUCAGGAUAUGCCCAGGUGGGAUUAGCUAGUUGGUGAGGUAAUGGCUCACCAAGGCGACGAUCCCUAGCUGGUCUGAGAGGAUGAUCAGCCACACUGGAACUGAGACACGGUCCAGACUCCUACGGGAGGCAGCAGUGGGGAAUAUUGCACAAUGGGCGCAAGCCUGAUGCAGCCAUGCCGCGUGUGUGAAGAAGGCCUUCGGGUUGUAAAGCACUUUCAGUCGUGAGGAAGGUGGUGUAGUUAAUAGCUGCAUUAUUUGACGUUAGCGACAGAAGAAGCACCGGCUAACUCCGUGCCAGCAGCCGCGGUAAUACGGAGGGUGCGAGCGUUAAUCGGAAUUACUGGGCGUAAAGCGCAUGCAGGUGGUUUGUUAAGUCAGAUGUGAAAGCCCGGGGCUCAACCUCGGAAUAGCAUUUGAAACUGGCAAGCUAGAGUACUGUAGAGGGGGGUAGAAUUUCAGGUGUAGCGGUGAAUGCGUAGA
rnacentral:rRNA from 1 species